rnacentral:rRNA from 1 species
UACGAAGGGGGCUAGCGUUGCUCGGAAUUACUGGGCGUAAAGGGCGCGUAGGCGGCCCGCUAAGUCGAACGUGAAAUCCCCAGGCUCAACCUGGGAACUGCGUCCGAUACUGGCAGGCUUGAAUCCGGGAGAGGGAUGUGGAAUUCCAGGUGUAGCGGUGAAAUGCGUAGAUAUCAGGAGGAACACCGAUGGCGAAGGCAGAUCUCUGGGCCUUACCUGACGCUGAGGCACGAAGGCCAGGGGAGCAAACGGG